GCCUCCUUAGCUUAGUGGUAAAGCUUAUGUUUUGUAAACAUAUGACGGCAGUUCGAUUCUGCCAGGAGGCU
rfam:Microgenomates (Daviesbacteria) bacterium GW2011_GWA1_42_6 TV33_C0041, whole genome shotgun sequence.